rnacentral:rRNA from 1 species
CCUACGGGUGGCAGCAGUGAGGAAUAUUGGUCAAUGGGCGUAAGCCUGACCCAGCCAAGUCGCGUGAGGGAUGAAGGUUCUAUGGAUCGUAACCCUCUUUUAUAAGGGAAUAAAGUGCGGGACGUGUCCCGUUUUGUAUGUACCUUAUGAAUAAGGAUCGGCUAACUCCGUGCCAGCAGCCGCGGUAAUCCGGAGGAUCAGAGCGUUAGCCGGAUUUAUUGGGUUUAAAGGGUGCGUAGGCGGCCUUUUAAGUCAUCGGUGAAAGUCUGUGGGACAACCAUCGAAUGGCUGUUGAAACUGGGAGGCUUGAGUAUGUGUGAGACAGGCGGAAGGCGUGGUGGAGCGGUGAAAUGCG